rnacentral:rRNA from 1 species
UACGAAGGGGGCGAGCGUUGUUCGGAUUUACUGGGCGUAAAGGGCGCGCAGGCGGCGCAUUUUGUCAGGCGUGAAAGCCCCGGGCUUAACCUGGGAACUGCGUUUGAUACGGAUGGGCUAGAGUUCGGGAGAGGAGAGUGGAAUUCCCAGUGUAGAGGUGAAAUUCGUAGAUAUUCGCAAGAACACCAGUGGCGAAGGCGGCUCACUGGUCCGGUACUGACGCUGAGGUGCGAAAGCGUGGGGAGCAAACAGG